AGAGUUUGAUCAUGGCUCAGAUUGAACGCUGGCGGCAGGCCUAACACAUGCAAGUCGAACGGUAACAGGAAGCAGCUUGCUGCUUCGCUGACGAGUGGCGGACGGGUGAGUAAUGUCUGGGAAACUGCCUGAUGGAGGGGGAUAACUACUGGAAACGGUGGCUAAUACCGCAUAACGUCGCAAGACCAAAGAGGGGGACCUUAGGGCCUCUUGCCAUCAGAUGUGCCCAGAUGGGAUUAGCUUGUUGGUGAGGUAACGGCUCACCAAGGCGACGAUCCCUAGCUGGUCUGAGAGGAUGACCAGCCACACUGGAACUGAGACACGGUCCAGACUCCUACGGGAGGCAGCAGUGGGGAAUAUUGCACAAUGGGCGCAAGCCUGAUGCAGCCAUGCCGCGUGUAUGAAGAAGGCCUUCGGGUUGUAAAGUACUUUCAGCGGGGAGGAAGGUGUUGUGGUUAAUAACCACAGCAAUUGACGUUACCCGCAGAAGAAGCACCGGCUAACUCCGUGCCAGCAGCCGCGGUAAUACGGAGGGUGCAAGCGUUAAUCGGAAUUACUGGGCGUAAAGCGCACGCAGGCGGUCUGUCAAGUCGGAUGUGAAAUCCCCGGGCUCAACCUGGGAACUGCAUUCGAAACUGGCAGGCUUGAGUCUUGUAGAGGGGGGUAGAAUUCCAGGUGUAGCGGUGAAAUGCGUAGAGAUCUGGAGGAAUACCGGUGGCGAAGGCGGCCCCCUGGACAAAGACUGACGCUCAGGUGCGAAAGCGUGGGGAGCAAACAGGAUUAGAUACCCUGGUAGUCCACGCCGUAAACGAUGUCUACUUGGAGGUUGUGCCCUUGAGGCGUGGCUUCCGGAGCUAACGCGUUAAGUAGACCGCCUGGGGAGUACGGCCGCAAGGUUAAAACUCAAAUGAAUUGACGGGGGCCCGCACAAGCGGUGGAGCAUGUGGUUUAAUUCGAUGCAACGCGAAGAACCUUACCUGGUCUUGACAUCCACGGAAGGUCUCAGAGAUGAGACUGUGCCUUCGGGAACCGUGAGACAGGUGCUGCAUGGCUGUCGUCAGCUCGUGUUGUGAAAUGUUGGGUUAAGUCCCGCAACGAGCGCAACCCUUAUCCUUUGUUGCCAGCGGUCCGGCCGGGAACUCAAAGGAGACUGCCAGUGAUAAACUGGAGGAAGGUGGGGAUGACGUCAAGUCAUCAUGGCCCUUACGACCAGGGCUACACACGUGCUACAAUGGCGCAUACAAAGAGAAGCGACCUCGCGAGAGCAAGCGGACCUCAUAAAGUGCGUCGUAGUCCGGAUUGGAGUCUGCAACUCGACUCCAUGAAGUCGGAAUCGCUAGUAAUCGUGGAUCAGAAUGCCACGGUGAAUACGUUCCCGGGCCUUGUACACACCGCCCGUCACACCAUGGGAGUGGGUUGCAAAAGAAGUAGGUAGCUUAACCUUCGGGAGGGCGCUUACCACUUUGUGAUUCAUGACUGGGGUGAAGUCGUAACAAGGUAACCGUAGGGGAACCUGCGGUUGGAUCACCU
rnacentral:rRNA from 2 species